UCCUGGUGGCUCAGAGGGUAAAGCGUCUGCCUGCAAUGCAGGAGACCUGGGUUCUAUCCCUGGGUUAGGAA
rnacentral:tRNA from 1 species